rnacentral:rRNA from 1 species
UUAAGCGACUAAGCGUACACGGUGGAUGCCCUGGCAGUCAGAGGCGAUGAAGGACGUGCUAAUCUGCGAUAAGCGUCGGUAAGGUGAUAUGAACCGUUAUAACCGGCGAUUUCCGAAUGGGGAAACCCAGUGUGUUUCGACACACUAUCAUUAACUGAAUCCAUAGGUUAAUGAGGCGAACCGGGGGAACUGAAACAUCUAAGUACCCCGAGGAAAAGAAAUCAACCGAGAUUCCCCCAGUAGCGGCGAGCGAACGGGGAGCAGCCCAGAGCCUGAAUCAGUGUGUGUGUUAGUGGAAGCGUCUGGAAAGGCGCGCGAUACAGGGUGACAGCCCCGUACACAAAAAUGCACAUGCUGUGAGCUCGAUGAGUAGGGCGGGACACGUGGUAUCCUGUCUGAAUAUGGGGGGACCAUCCUCCAAGGCUAAAUACUCCUGACUGACCGAUAGUGAACCAGUACCGUGAGGGAAAGGCGAAAAGAACCCCGGCGAGGGGAGUGAAAAAGAACCUGAAACCGUGUACGUACAAGCAGUGGGAGCCUCUUUUAUGGGGUGACUGCGUACCUUUUGUAUAAUGGGUCAGCGACUUAUAUUCUGUAGCAAGGUUAACCGAAUAGGGGAGCCGAAGGGAAACCGAGUCUUAACUGGGCGUUAAGUUGCAGGGUAUAGACCCGAAACCCGGUGAUCUAGCCAUGGGCAGGUUGAAGGUUGGGUAACACUAACUGGAGGACCGAACCGACUAAUGUUGAAAAAUUAGCGGAUGACUUGUGGCUGGGGGUGAAAGGCCAAUCAAACCGGGAGAUAGCUGGUUCUCCCCGAAAGCUAUUUAGGUAGCGCCUCGUGAAUUCAUCUCCGGGGGUAGAGCACUGUUUCGGCAAGGGGGUCAUCCCGACUUACCAACCCGAUGCAAACUGCGAAUACCGGAGAAUGUUAUCACGGGAGACACACGGCGGGUGCUAACGUCCGUCGUGAAGAGGGAAACAACCCAGACCGCCAGCUAAGGUCCCAAAGUCAUGGUUAAGUGGGAAACGAUGUGGGAAGGCCCAGACAGCCAGGAUGUUGGCUUAGAAGCAGCCAUCAUUUAAAGAAAGCGUAAUAGCUCACUGGUCGAGUCGGCCUGCGCGGAAGAUGUAACGGGGCUAAACCAUGCACCGAAGCUGCGGCAGCGACGCUGAUGCGUUGUUGGGUAGGGGAGCGUUCUGUAAGCCUGUGAAGGUGUGCUGUGAGGCAUGCUGGAGGUAUCAGAAGUGCGAAUGCUGACAUAAGUAACGAUAAAGCGGGUGAAAAGCCCGCUCGCCGGAAGACCAAGGGUUCCUGUCCAACGUUAAUCGGGGCAGGGUGAGUCGACCCCUAAGGCGAGGCCGAAAGGCGUAGUCGAUGGGAAACAGGUUAAUAUUCCUGUACUUGGUGUUACUGCGAAGGGGGGACGGAGAAGGCUAUGUUGGCCGGGCGACGGUUGUCCCGGUUUAAGCGUGUAGGCUGGUUUUCCAGGCAAAUCCGGAAAAUCAAGGCUGAGGCGUGAUGACGAGGCACUACGGUGCUGAAGCAACAAAUGCCCUGCUUCCAGGAAAAGCCUCUAAGCAUCAGGUAACAUCAAAUCGUACCCCAAACCGACACAGGUGGUCAGGUAGAGAAUACCAAGGCGCUUGAGAGAACUCGGGUGAAGGAACUAGGCAAAAUGGUGCCGUAACUUCGGGAGAAGGCACGCUGAUAUGUAGGUGAAGUCCCUUGCGGAUGGAGCUGAAAUCAGUCGAAGAUACCAGCUGGCUGCAACUGUUUAUUAAAAACACAGCACUGUGCAAACACGAAAGUGGACGUAUACGGUGUGACGCCUGCCCGGUGCCGGAAGGUUAAUUGAUGGGGUCAGCGCAAGCGAAGCUCUUGAUCGAAGCCCCGGUAAACGGCGGCCGUAACUAUAACGGUCCUAAGGUAGCGAAAUUCCUUGUCGGGUAAGUUCCGACCUGCACGAAUGGCGUAAUGAUGGCCAGGCUGUCUCCACCCGAGACUCAGUGAAAUUGAACUCGCUGUGAAGAUGCAGUGUACCCGCGGCAAGACGGAAAGACCCCGUGAACCUUUACUAUAGCUUGACACUGAACAUUGAGCCUUGAUGUGUAGGAUAGGUGGGAGGCUUAGAAGUGUGGACGCCAGUCUGCAUGGAGCCGACCUUGAAAUACCACCCUUUAAUGUUUGAUGUUCUAACGUUGACCCGUAAUCCGGGUUGCGGACAGUGUCUGGUGGGUAGUUUGACUGGGGCGGUCUCCUCCUAAAGAGUAACGGAGGAGCACGAAGGUUGGCUAAUCCUGGUCGGACAUCAGGAGGUUAGUGCAAUGGCAUAAGCCAGCUUGACUGCGAGCGUGACGGCGCGAGCAGGUGCGAAAGCAGGUCAUAGUGAUCCGGUGGUUCUGAAUGGAAGGGCCAUCGCUCAACGGAUAAAAGGUACUCCGGGGAUAACAGGCUGAUACCGCCCAAGAGUUCAUAUCGACGGCGGUGUUUGGCACCUCGAUGUCGGCUCAUCACAUCCUGGGGCUGAAGUAGGUCCCAAGGGUAUGGCUGUUCGCCAUUUAAAGUGGUACGCGAGCUGGGUUUAGAACGUCGUGAGACAGUUCGGUCCCUAUCUGCCGUGGGCGCUGGAGAACUGAGGGGGGCUGCUCCUAGUACGAGAGGACCGGAGUGGACGCAUCACUGGUGUUCGGGUUGUCAUGCCAAUGGCACUGCCCGGUAGCUAAAUGCGGAAGAGAUAAGUGCUGAAAGCAUCUAAGCACGAAACUUGCCCCGAGAUGAGUUCUCCCUGACCCUUUAAGGGUCCUGAAGGAACGUUGAAGACGACGACGUUGAUAGGCCGGGUGUGUAAGCGCAGCGAUGCGUUGAGCUAACCGGUACUAAUGAACCGUGAGGCUUAACCUU